rnacentral:rRNA from 1 species
CCUACGGGUGGCAGCAGUGAGGAAUAUUGGUCAAUGGACGAGAGUCUGAACCAGCCAAGCAGCGUGAAGGAUGACUGCCCUAUGGGUUGUAAACUUCUUUUAUAUGGGAAUAAAAUGUUCCACGUGUGGGCUUUUGUAUGUACCAUAUGAAUAAGCAUCGGCUAACUCCGUGCCAGCAGCCGCGGUAAUACGGAGGAUCCGAGCGUUAUCCGGAUUUAUUGGGUUUAAAGGGAGCGUAGGUGGAUUGUUAAGUCAGUUGUGAAAGUUUGCGGCUCAACCGUAACAGUGCAGUUGAAACUGGCAGUCUUGAGUACAGGAGAGGUGGGCGGAAUGCGUGGUGUAGCGGUGAAAUGCUUAGAUAUCACGAAGAACUCCGAUUGCGAAGGCAGCUCACUGGACUGCAACUGACACUGAGGCUCGAAAGUGUGGGUAUCAAACAGGAUUAGAUACCCGAGUAGUC